rnacentral:rRNA from 4 species
AUACCAUUAUAAUGCGUCAUUUGCUACAUAUUGUUUUUCAUUCAGCGAUUGCAAGUUACUUACAGAAGCAUUGAGAGAAAAUUUUAAUCUUGAUGUAAGGGUAUGUAAAUGUCAGAUGCGUGGAAAAAUACGCUAUCGACUUUACAUCACUUCCUCAAGCAUGGGUCGUUUCAUAAGUUUAAUUAAGCCUUAUGUAAAUCCAUGCUUUGAGUACAAAAUUCGUAAGUUUAACUAGCCAGCAGCAGCGGUAAUACAGAGCCCCCAAGCGUUAUCCGGAUUUAUUGGGCGUAAAGGGUCCGUAGACGCCUCGUCAAGUUUUCUGUUAAAUCUUCAGGGCUUAACCUUGAAGCUGUGGGAAAAACUAACGAGGUAGAGGGCGUUAGAGGCCAGUGGAAUGCACGGUGUAGGGGUGAAAUCCGUUGAUAUCGUGUAGAACACCAAAAGCGAAGGCAGCUGGCUGGGGCGACCCUGACGUUGAGGGACGAAAGCGUGGGGAGCAAACGAGAUUAGAUACCUCGGUAGUCCACGCCCUAAACGAUGGAUGCUAGCUAGUGGGAGUGUCGACCCUUUCACUGGCGAAGCUAACGCAUUAAGCAUCCCGCCUGGGAAGUACGGCCGCAAGGUUGAAACUCAAAGGAAUAGACGGGGGUCUACACAAGCGGUGGACCACGUGGCUUAAUUCGACGACAAACGAAGAACCUUACCAGGGCUUGACAGGUCAAGUGAAAAUCUGCCGAAAGGCGGACUCCGCAAGGCACUUGAUACAGGUGCUGCAUGGUUGUCGUCAGCAGGUGUCGUGAGAUGCUCCCUUAAAUGGGGAAACCUGCGCAACCCUUGUCCUAUGUUUUAUUUGUCAUAGGGAACUGCCUCAUUUUAUGAGGAGGAAGGCGAGGACGACGUCAAAUCAGCAUGGCCCUUAUGUCCUGGGCCGCACACGUGGUACAAUGGCCAGUACAAAGAGUUGCUAAAGCGUAAGCUGGAGCUAAUCUCAUCAAAACUGGUCUCAGUUCGGAUCGAGGUCUGAAACUCGACCUCGUGAAGCUGGAAUCGCUAGUAAUCGCGAAUCAGCUAUGUCGCGAUGAAUAUGUCCCUGGACCUUGUACUCACCGCCCGUCACAUUAGGGAAGCCGGUAGUAGCCGAAACCCCAGCUUGUCUGGGUCUAAGCUAAGAUCGGUGACCAGAAUGAAGUCGUAAGAAAGUUGCGACUCCUGAAGAGUAAUUU